rnacentral:misc_RNA from 1 species
CUUCCCCAGCUUCAGGCGGGAACCCGACGGGGGGAUCGCGACGGAGAUAAUCAAUAUCGAUCGUUUCGGUAACGCCCGGCUCUCCGUCAUGCAGGAAGACUUGACCCUACCGUACCACACGCUCUUGGAGAUCGGGAUUCGGGAUGAGAUCCUCGAGGCGAGGUACGUGGAGAC